rnacentral:rRNA from 1 species
AAAGCUCAAAUUUAAAAUCUGGCGGUCUCUGGCCGUCCGAGUUGUAUUCUGGAGAAGUGUUUUCCGCGCUGGACCGUGUACAAGUCUCCUGGAACGGAGCGUCAUAGAGGGUGAGAAUCCCGUCUUUGACACGGACUACCAGUGCUUUGUGAUGCGCUCUCAAAGAGUCGAGUUGUUUGGGAAUGCAGCUCAAAAUGGGUGGUGAAUUCCAUCUAAAGCUAAAUAUUGGCGAGAGACCGAUNGCGAA